rnacentral:rRNA from 1 species
GACGAACGCUGGCGGCGUGCUUAACACAUGCAAGUCGAACGGAAAGGCCCUGCUUUUGUGGGGUGCUCGAGUGGCGAACGGGUGAGUAACACGUGUGUAACCUGCCCUUGUCUUUCGGAUAACUUCAGGAAACUGGGGCUAAUAUCGGAUAGGAGCUCCUGCUGCAUGGUGGGCGUUGGAAAGUUUCGGCGGUUGGGGAUGGACUCGCGGCUUAUCAGCUUGUUGGUGGGGUAGUGGAUUACCAAGGCUUUGACGGGUAGCCGGCCUGAGAGGGUGACCGGCCACAAUGGGCCUGAGGUACGGCGCAGACUCCUACGGUAGGCAGCAGGGGGGAGUAUUGCACAAUGGGCGGAAGCCUGAUACGACAACGCCGCGUUCGGGAUGACGGCCUUCUGGUUAUAAACCGCUUUCGCCUGUGACGAAGCGGUAGUGACGGUAAUGAAUAAAGAAGCACCGGCUAACUACGUG